rnacentral:lncRNA from 10 species
AAUUGGCUGGGGUCCACUUCCCCACUGUGAGAGGUUUUUUCUUUUGCUCUCUGCGAUGAAUCUUACUGCUGCUUACUGUAUGGGUCUGCACCCGCCUUUAUGAGCUGUGAGACUCACCACUAAGGUCUGCAGCUUCACUCCUGAAGCCAAGGAGACCACUAACCCACCGGGAGGAACGAACAACUCUGGACGGGCCGCCUUUAUGAGCUGUAACACUCACCGCGAAGGUUUGCAGCUUCACUCUUGAAGUCAGCGAGACCAGGAACCCACCAGAAGGAAGAAACUCUGCACACGUCCGAACAUCAAAAGGAACAAACUCUGGACACACCAUCUUUAAGAACUGCAACACUCACCACGAGGGUCCGCGGCUUCAUUCUUAAAGUCAGUGAGACUAAGAACCCACCAAUUCUUGGACAUAAAACCAGUAAUUCUUAUCAGCACAGGCACAAGCUAUUUUAUUUAUCUUUGUAUUAAUCAUUUAUUCAACAAAUAAUAACUGAAUGCUUACAAAGUAUUAGCCUGGAAUUGUCAAAAGAGGAUGAUAACAUCCCCUUUCCCCAGAGGAGUGUUUGAAAAUGUAUGGGGACAUUUGUCAUUGUUAUUGUUACAAUUACUGUCUUUGUUGGAAUUUAGCGAGUUGGGGGACAAACAUACUAAAUAUUCUAUAAACUCUUCCACUAUUAGUGGAAUUUGAAGUUUGUUUCGAGUCAUUAUGAACAUUCCAUACUUGUCUGCUGGUAAGAUUCCUUUCUUAGGGCAUAUAUACAAGAGUUUCAAUGGCUUAAAAACUCUUAAUCGUGGCCAAAAGUAAUACAUUUUGUGUCACAACGCUGAAACACAUAUGUGUGUGGAUAACUGAAACAAAUAAUUCACGAGAAUAUAUCCCUUAGUAUGUUUUUAUGCACACCAAUUUAUUAAAAAAUAAUGCUGCUUGCUAUAAUACUAAAUUGAUUUUCAAAAUCUAUU